rnacentral:rRNA from 1 species
CAGUCGCCGCGGUAAUACGGAGGGAGCUAGCGUUGUUCGGAAUUACUGGGCGUAAAGCGCGCGUAGGCGGUUACUCAAGUCAGAGGUGAAAGCCCGGGGCUCAACCCCGGAACUGCCUUUGAAACUAGGUGACUAGAAUCUUGGAGAGGUCAGCGGAAUUCCGAGUGUAGAGGUGAAAUUCGUAGAUAUUCGGAAGAACACCAGUGGCGAAGGCGACUGACUGGACAAGUAUUGACGCUGAGGUGCGAAAGCGUGGGGAGCAAACAGGAUUAGAUACCCCCGUAGUCCCUGUCUCUUAUAC